rnacentral:rRNA from 1 species
UUAAGCGACUAAGCGUACACGGUGGAUGCCCUGGCAGUCAGAGGCGAUGAAGGACGUGCUAAUCUGCGAUAAGCGUCGGUAAGGUGAUAUGAACCGUUAUAACCGGCGAUUUCCGAAUGGGGAAACCCAGUGUGAUUCGUCACACUAUCAUUAACUGAAUCCAUAGGUUAAUGAGGCGAACCGGGGGAACUGAAACAUCUAAGUACCCCGAGGAAAAGAAAUCAACCGAGAUUCCCCCAGUAGCGGCGAGCGAACGGGGAGGAGCCCAGAGCCUGAAUCAGUGUGUGUGUUAGUGGAAGCGUCUGGAAAGGCGCGCGAUACAGGGUGACAGCCCCGUACACAAAAAUGCACAUACUGUGAGCUCGAUGAGUAGGGCGGGACACGUGGUAUCCUGUCUGAAUAUGGGGGGACCAUCCUCCAAGGCUAAAUACUCCUGACUGACCGAUAGUGAACCAGUACCGUGAGGGAAAGGCGAAAAGAACCCCGGCGAGGGGAGUGAAAAAGAACCUGAAACCGUGUACGUACAAGCAGUGGGAGCCUCUUUAUGGGGUGACUGCGUACCUUUUGUAUAAUGGGUCAGCGACUUAUAUUCUGUAGCAAGGUUAACCGAAUAGGGGAGCCGAAGGGAAACCGAGUCUUAACUGGGCGUUAAGUUGCAGGGUAUAGACCCGAAACCCGGUGAUCUAGCCAUGGGCAGGUUGAAGGUUGGGUAACACUAACUGGAGGACCGAACCGACUAAUGUUGAAAAAUUAGCGGAUGACUUGUGGCUGGGGGUGAAAGGCCAAUCAAACCGGGAGAUAGCUGGUUCUCCCCGAAAGCUAUUUAGGUAGCGCCUCGUGAAUUCAUCUCCGGGGGUAGAGCACUGUUUCGGCAAGGGGGUCAUCCCGACUUACCAACCCGAUGCAAACUGCGAAUACCGGAGAAUGUUAUCACGGGAGACACACGGCGGGUGCUAACGUCCGUCGUGAAGAGGGAAACAACCCAGACCGCCAGCUAAGGUCCCAAAGUCAUGGUUAAGUGGGAAACGAUGUGGGAAGGCCCAGACAGCCAGGAUGUUGGCUUAGAAGCAGCCAUCAUUUAAAGAAAGCGUAAUAGCUCACUGGUCGAGUCGGCCUGCGCGGAAGAUGUAACGGGGCUAAACCAUGCACCGAAGCUGCGGCAGCGACGCUUAUGCGUUGUUGGGUAGGGGAGCGUUCUGUAAGCCUGUGAAGGUGUACUGUGAGGUAUGCUGGAGGUAUCAGAAGUGCGAAUGCUGACAUAAGUAACGAUAAAGCGGGUGAAAAGCCCGCUCGCCGGAAGACCAAGGGUUCCUGUCCAACGUUAAUCGGGGCAGGGUGAGUCGACCCCUAAGGCGAGGCCGAAAGGCGUAGUCGAUGGGAAACAGGUUAAUAUUCCUGUACUUGGUGUUACUGCGAAGGGGGGACGGAGAAGGCUAUGUUGGCCGGGCGACGGUUGUCCCGGUUUAAGCGUGUAGGCUGGUUUUCCAGGCAAAUCCGGAAAAUCAAGGCUGAGGCGUGAUGACGAGGCACUACGGUGCUGAAGCAACAAAUGCCCUGCUUCCAGGAAAAGCCUCUAAGCAUCAGGUAACAUCAAAUCGUACCCCAAACCGACACAGGUGGUCAGGUAGAGAAUACCAAGGCGCUUGAGAGAACUCGGGUGAAGGAACUAGGCAAAAUGGUGCCGUAACUUCGGGAGAAGGCACGCUGAUAUGUAGGUGAAGCGACUUGCUCGUGGAGCUGAAAUCAGUCGAAGAUACCAGCUGGCUGCAACUGUUUAUUAAAAACACAGCACUGUGCAAACACGAAAGUGGACGUAUACGGUGUGACGCCUGCCCGGUGCCGGAAGGUUAAUUGAUGGGGUUAGCGCAAGCGAAGCUCUUGAUCGAAGCCCCGGUAAACGGCGGCCGUAACUAUAACGGUCCUAAGGUAGCGAAAUUCCUUGUCGGGU